UACUGUGAGGACACGGCCUCAGUAUAUGUAUAUAUCAACUAUAUGCUCUAAUGUAUGAAUUGGUAUGAAGUCUCAGUGUGUGUCCAGUAUAUGCUGUAUGUAUGAGUUACUAUGAGGAGACAGCCUCAGUAUAUGCAGGGCCGGUGCAAGUAUUUUUGCCACCCCCCCCAUGACAUCGCAAUGCCCCACCCAUAUGAACUAACACCAGUGCUGCACACAGUGUGUGUUUACAUUAAAAAACCUGCAGAG